rnacentral:rRNA from 1 species
GAUGAACGCUGGCGGCGUGCCUAAUACAUGCCAGUCGAGCGAACAGAUGAGGAGCUUGCUCCUCUGACGUUAGCGGCGGACGGGUGAGUAACACGUGGAUAACCUACCUAUAAGACUGGGAUAACUUCGGGAAACCGGAGCUAAUACCGGAUAAUAUAUUGAACCGCAUGGUUCAAUAGCGAAAGCAGGUUUUGCUGUCACUUAUAGAUGGAACCGCGCCGCAUUAGCUAGUUGGUAAGGUAACGGCUUACCAAGGCAACGAUGCGUAGCCGACCUGAGAGGGUGAUCGGCCACACUGGAACUGAGACACGGUCCAGACUCCUACGGGAGGCAGCAGUAGGGAAUCUUCCGCAAUGGGCGAAAGCCUGACGGAGCAACGCCGCGUGAGUGAUGAAGGUCUUCGGAUCGUAAAACUCUGUUAUUAGGGAAGAACAAAUGUGUAAGUAACUAUGCACGUCUUGACGGUACCUAAUCAGAAAGCCACGGCUAACUACGUG